AACGAACGCUGGCGGCGCGCCUAAUACAUGCAAGUCGAGCGAGAAGACGUAGCAAUACGUUUGUAAAGCGGCGAACGGGUGAGGAAUACAUGGGUAACCUACCCUCGAGUGGGGAAUAACUAGCCGAAAGGUUAGCUAAUACCGCGUACGCUCCUUGGACUUCGGUUCAGGGAGGAAAGCGAUACCGUGGGUAUCGCGCUCUUGGAUGGGCUCAUGUCCUAUCAGCUUGUUGGGAGGUAACGGCUCACCAAGGCUUCGACGGGUAGCUGGUCUGAGAGGACGAUCAGCCACACUGGCACUGCGACACGGGCCAGACUCCUACGGGAGGCAGCAGUAAGGAAUAUUGCGCAAUGGGCGAAAGCCUGACGCAGCGACGCCGCGUGGGGGAUGAAGGUCUUCGGAUUGUAAACCCCUUUCGGGAGGGAAGAUGGAACGAGCAAUCGUUCGGACGGU
rnacentral:rRNA from 1 species